rnacentral:rRNA from 1 species
GACGAACGCCGGCGGCGUGCCUAAUACAUGCAAGUCGAACGAAGCUGUUUUAACUGGUGCUUGCACCGACUUAAACAACUGAGUGGCGAACGGGUGAGUAACACGUGGGUAACCUGCCCCAAAGCGGGGGAUAACAUUUGGAAACAGAUGCUAAUACCGCAUAACCACAGAAACCACAUGGUUUCUGUGUCAAAGAUGGUUUCGGCUAUCACUUUGGGAUGGACCCGCGGCGUAUUAGCUAGUUGGUAAGGUAAUGGCUUACCAAGGCAAUGAUACGUAGCCGAACUGAUAGGGUGAUCGGCCACAUUGGGACUGAGACACGGCCCAAACUCCUACGGGAGGCAGCAGUAGGGAAUCUUCCACAAUGGACGAAAGUCUGAUGGAGCAACGCCGCGUGAGUGAAGAAGGUUUUCGGAUCGUAAAACUCUGUUGUCAGAGAAGAACGUGUGCGAGAGUAACUGCUCGUGCAGUGACGGUAUCUGGCCAGAGAGCCACGGCUAACUACGUGCCAGCCGCCGCGGUAA